UCUGACCCUAGAGGCAUUGUAUAUGUGGUUGCUGUGUCUCAUAUGUGUCAGUAGGUGGCAGAGAGGAGAAAGGCUAUGCCUACUCUGUAAAUUAUCUACUGUAUAAACAUCUGGAUGAUUAGAAGACUAGCAUU